AUGAGAUUGAAAGGGGUUGUUGCUGGUCUCCUCGGAGAUAUGUGCACGCCUCGCUCAUUCCACUCACACCUGUGCACCUAUAGUAGUUUGGUUCAAUUAUUUGAUCAGACUACUUUUUUUGCAAACUCCAAUGUAUCAGAAUGUAACUUUGCUAUAAACGCAUAUAAUA
rnacentral:misc_RNA from 1 species